AUCAUUUUUGAGUUGCAUUUUUAUACUGCGCUGUAACAUUAAACGAAUAUCGUGUAACUGGGCUUUCGACUACUGGGGAAGCGGCACCAAAGUCACCGUAACAAACAGUGAAUCAUCUCCACCAAAGUCAAUCUUGCCGAUAUCCCAGUGUACUCCUGAUUCUGCUGGGUCCCUCGUCAUCGCCUGCAUGGCAAGAGGUUUCUCACCUGAGGACUCGCUUACUUUUAAAUGGACGGAUUAUACUAAGAAGGAGUUGAGUGAUUUCGUGCAGUAUCCAGCAUUCAGUAGUGGCGGACAAUACACCAAAAUCAGCCAUCUGCGCAUUAGUAAAAGCGAUUGGAAUCCUCAAAAACCUUACAAUUGCGAAGCUUCAAAUUCUGCCGGCAAAAAAGCAUCCCCUGUUGCUCCAGGUCCAAGAAAACCCACCCUGAGUUUGGUUUCUGUCACAACCCUAAAAAGUAAAUCUUUCAUGUGUGCUGUUGAAGAUUUCUACCCCCAAAACGACCUCUCGGUACAAUGGAAGAUAAAUGAUACAAAUUCCUUGAGUCCGCUAAAACUGGAGAGUAAAUCGAAUGAGCAAGGUUUUUAUAAUGGAUACAGUUUUUAUGAAGUCAGCAGUGAGAAUUCGGAUGUGAAUACUCAGUAUACCUGUGAGGUCACACACCAGGGAAAACAGUUUAACAGAUCAGCAUACUUCAAAGCUAAAUUUUCACUGACAAUGAAGCCACCAAUUCAGAAAGAAAUAUUUGUUAAUGAUAAAAUUGUCUUGCAAGCCGUUGUUUCUGGAGAUGUAAAAAAAACAGUGCAAGAUACUUCAGUAUCAUGUAAAGUGAAGGAUGAGCUUGUGCCCAAUGGGAAUAUCACAACAGGGGAUGUUCAAUUAUCUCCUGAAACUUCACAAUUUAACAGAAUUCACGAUGUCAUCAUUAAUACAAAUAAAUGGUUUAAUGGUGAAGUGGUCACCUGCACCAUCCAUGACACAAAUAAUAACAAAGACAUCGAGCAGAAGAUCAGUUUUCAAAAAGAUGGAAAAGAGCCCACUGUUACCAUUUACAAACCUGAUAACGUCAAAGAUAAUAUCUCUCAUGUGUGUGAGGUCACCAGCCCUAAACUCGGUGAUGUCUAUGUAAUGUGGAAAGGGGAUGAUGGUUCUUACAGAGAGGGCACAACCAGUGCUCCCAUCCAUCAAAAGGACUCAACGUCUGUUCUCAGCAUCCUAACAAUGACAAAAGAAGAGUAUGAAAAGCCCAGCACCACCAUCACCUGUGCAGUGAUUCAUGCCAACAUGGCCAAUAGAAGAGCUCCAUUACAAGUGACAACAAGCAAAAGUGAGACACCUGAGCCAGAAACAGGCUUUGCUCUGGACUGCAAUAAAGAUGUUCUUGAGGAGGAUGAGUUCAGAAGUCUCUGGUCCACUGCCACCUCAUUCAUCUUCCUCUUCCUCUUCUCUCUGACCUACAGCGCUGUGCUCAGCUUCUUCAAGGUGAAGCAGUGAUGAUUUGUU